GUUUUGGAGUGCAGGCGUGAAUAGUCCUUUCUGUCCUGCUUUGAGUACUGCUGUUGGGUGCCUUGGGGGGACCUUAAGGGAGCUCGGAAGUUGAGACGUGGUGAGUGCGAGAUCACUGCCCACAAAGGGGAGGAGCAGGCGGAUGAACAGCCAGAGCUGCAAUGGUGGAUCCUCCUCCAGGGCUGCAUGGGACGACAGAUAGAUGAGGCUCUAGGACGGGCACAAAUGCUACCCGAAUGCAAACCACUCCGGAGAUCUGUAAAAGGACUGGCCCCGGACAGGAAGCACACUUUAAACUAGAGGCGGGAGUCAAAGCCCCGGUGAAGAUUCUGUGACGGUUCAUUGUAUAAUUUAUGAUGAUGAAGAUUGAGUUGCAUUUUGCGGAAAAGAGAUGUUGAGAUAUCUAAGGCAUUGAGAAAUCUGUCAUGCAGACAUGCACACAGGGAGAGGGAGUACCCAAACUGAUGAGAACUUACAGGAAUUGGACCAUCUAAGCCCUUAGAAAGUGAAGUCCACUGUGUCUCAAACAAAGGAUGGCAAGUGUUCAUGACAUCAAUACUACCCAAGGCUUCAGAGUCAUUGGAUUGCAGGAUGCAGUGACUUAUGAUGAUGUGCGUGUGAACUUCACUGAGGAAGAGUGGGAUUUGCUGGAUCCUUCCCAGAAAAGUCUCUAUGAAGAGGUGAUGCUAGAGACAUACCAGAACAUCACUGCUAUAGGUAAGACUGAAUUUCCUCUUGCUUUUCUGAAUAAGGGACAAAUAUUUCUUUGUUAUUGAUCCUCUGUUGUUUCAAUUGAAGAGGAGGAAGAAUGAGCUUACAGGCAUGAAAGAAUUCAUAUUGGAGAGAAACCGUAUGAACGUAACCAAUGGGGUAAAGCCUUUGCAAGUGACAAUCAUCUCCAAAUACGUAAAAGAACAAAUACUGGAGAGAAACCUUAUGAAUGUAAUCAAUGUGGUAAAGCCUUUUCACAACAGAGUAGUCUCCAGUAUCAUAAAAGAACAUAUGCUGGACAGAAACCUUAUGAAUGUAAUCAGUGUGGUAAAGCCUUGUCAUGUCAAAGAAAUCUCCAAUAUCAUAAAAGAACACAUACUGGAGAGAAACCCUAUGAAUGUAAUCAGUGUGGUAAAGCCUUCACACAUUACAAUAAUCUCCGAUAUCAUAAAAGAACACAUACUGGAGAAAAACCUUAUGAAUGUAAUCAGUGUGGUAAAGCCUUUGCACGUUACAAUAAUCUCCAGUGUCAUAAAAGAACACAUACUGGAGAGAAACCUCAUGUGUGUGAUCAAUGUGGUAAAACCUUUGCAUGGCAGUAUACUCUCCAAAAACAUAAAAGAAUACAUACUGGAGAGAAACCUUAUCAAUGUAGUCAAUGUGAUAAAGCAUUUUCAGAACACAGUAGUCUUCAAUAUCAUAAAAGAACACAUACUGGAGAGAAACCUUAUGAGUGUGAUCAAUGUGGUAAAGCCUUUGCUUGGCAGUGUAGUCUCCAUAUCCAUAAAAGAACACAUUCUGGAGAGAAACCUUAUGAGUGUAAUGAAUGUGGUAAAGCCUUUGCACAUCACACUAGUCUCCAAAGUCAUAAAAGAAUACAUACUGGAGAGAAACCUUAUCAGUGUGAUCAGUGUGGUAAAGCAUUUGCACAUCAAAAUAAUCUCCAAUAUCAUAAAAGAACACAUACUGGAGAGAAACCAUAUGAAUGCAAUCAAUGUGGUAAAGCCUUUGCAAGUCACAGUCAUCUCCAAAUACAUGAAAGAACACAUUUUAGAAAAAACCCUUAGAAUGCAAUCAAUGUUGUAAAGACUUUGGAUGUAAGACUAAUCUCCAAAGACAUAAAGGAAUAUAUAUGGGACAGAAACCUUAUGAAUGUAAUCAAUGUGGUAAAGCAUUUGCAACUCACAGUCAUCUACAAUGACAUAAAAGAACACAGAGGAGAGAAACCUGGUUAUUGUUUACAUAUUGACAUAAGGAGAUGCAAGUAUGUAUCAACUUGACAAGGGAUGGAUUGUGAUUGCUACUCUUGGUUUUCAAUAUAAGAUCUAAAGUGGAAAGCAUAGGUCCAGGCAUGGUGGUACAUGCCCUUGAACCCUAGGAGAUGAGCAUCAAGCAGAUCUCUGAGUUCAAGUCCAUCCUGAUACAGAACAAGUUUCAGGUAAAGAAAAGAUUAGGUCUAGGCCUGUGGACACUGUGUUCCAGAGACAGCCAGAAUUGUACCUUGUGUUGCAGCUGAACUUGGUCACAUGUAAGAAUCACCCAGGUGUUACUGGUUUUGAAGGCAUGACAGUGUCAUGAGGAGCAGUACAGCCUUGCAGAUCUCUGAGUUCAAGGUCAAUAUGUAGAGCAAGUUCCAGGACAGCCAAGCUGAGGCAGUAAAGGAGUUGGAGAACAGAAAACUGGUGAUAAUGUAAUAGAAGAGGCCAUGUCCCAGGCCCAGAAAGCAGCAGAACUCAGCAGCUUUGUUCAUGUGGCUCUUACUUUAGAGGUAAGACUAGAAGGGACUACUGGGAAAAUUGAAGCUUGUAAGCUAAGGCUGAGAAAUUAGAAGUGAUGAUGAAGAGACCAGCAUCAUUGAGGUGAAAUCUUCUAGGAAGUGUUUUCUGAGAGGACAUAAAAACUGUGUUCCAGAGAUAGCCAGGAUUGUACCUUGUGUUGCAGCUGAACUUGGUCUCAUGUAAGAAUCACCCAGGUGGUACUGGUUUUGAAUGCAUGACGGUGUCAUGAGGAGCAGCUGAGGCUUGGACCAAUGAAGAGAGCAUAAGUGAGGCUAUCAGUGAAGCCUAGUUGCAGGAGAAGAACCCAACAUAUUGAAGAUGCCAGUCCAAUGGGAUGAGCAGAAAGAACAGCCCAGUAGAGGGGAGUCAACCAGAGCUUAGAGUGAUACAGACAGCAGAGCUGAAGAAGUGACCUUAUCUCUUUGGAGGACUGCAGAAGAUCAUGUGUGGAUCCAAGACAUUGGAACAAGAAACUGUAACACUGAGGUUACCUUGGAGACCCCAAGAUCUUUGAGAUGUCAGAGCUGUGGGGUACCUGCUCAGAAAAACCAGCCAAAGAGAAAGAAUUGUGCUGCAGUGAACAAAGCAGAAAGGAGUUGGAGAUCUGAAGAAUGCUUUAAUAUCACACAUGGAGAUGCAGUUUGGAGAUUUCCAAGCUGGCUUUUGGUUUUGUUUUGGUCCAGUAAUUCCUUGUGAUGACAUUUUGGAAUGGUGAAGUCUAUGUUGUGAAGUUGGAAUUAUAUGAUCUGUAUUUAGAUUUUUCUUUUUAAGGGGAUUACAGUUACAUUGAAUGAAUCUCAGAAGAGACGUUGAUCUUUGGACUUUUAACAUAUUUGAGACUGGUAUAGAUGAUGGGGACUUUUGAGGUUGGACCUCGUGUAUUUUUCAUUAUGCAUGUUUAAAUAUGUUCCUUAUACAUUCCUGUACUCCAACAUGCUUAAGGGGGCCAGUGAGUGGAAUGUGGGAGUUUGAAUAUGCUUGUGACAGGGAGUGACUCUAUUCAGAGGUGUGACCUUGUAGGAGAAAGGGGAUAUCUAUGGGGGUGGACUUUGAAGCUCCACCAAGUGCAAAACAGACCCUCCUAUUCCCUCUCUGGAAGACAGUUUCUUCCUGGCUGCCUUUGGAUCAAAAUGCAGAACUCUCAGCUCCUUCUCCAGCAUCAUGUCUGCCUGCAUGCUGCUGUGCUUCCUGCUAUGAUGAAAAUGGACUAAACCUCUGAAACUGUAAGCCAGCCCCAAUUAAAGGUUUGCUUUUAUGAGAGUUGCCUUGGUCAUGAUGUCUAUUCCUAACAAUGGAAACACUAAGACUUAAAUUUUGGGAGUGUAUUUAAUAUAGUGAAACCUUUACACAAUUCUGUAGGCUUCAUCAUCAUGGAAGAAUAUAUACUGGAGCCAGACAGUGGUGGUGCAUGCCUUUAAUCCCAUCACUUGGGAGGAAGAUGCAGACAGACUUCUGAGUUCUCGGCCAGCCUGGUCUACAAAGUGAGUUCCAGGAUAGCCUGGGCUAUAGAAAGAAACCCUGUCUUGAAAAAACAAAACAAAACAAAAGAGUAUGUACUGGAGAGAAACCUUUUGAAUGUACUUACUAUGGUUAAGCUUCUUCCUACGGUUAAGAAGGAAUGACUUUGACAGGUACAGUUCUCAUUCUCUGUCUUUAGAACGUGAGCAUCACAUAGGAGUUCAUGACAAGCUCAUUCUUGGACCCUGUCUACAUGUGUUAAAUCAGAAGUUUUGCUCUCAGUAUAUGACCUCUAGAAAAAUAAUUAAAGGUGGCCCCUGAACAUUUUAUUUCUGACUCUCCAGUUACUACUAAUCUAUCUUUCAAGCAGAGGCCCCAUGUCCUUGAGCUCUCUUUGGGAGCAGAGGUGAUCAGAAAGGUAGUCAAGGGCUCUGAAGCUCC
rnacentral:lncRNA from 1 species